rnacentral:tmRNA from 1 species
GGGGUCGAUUUGGUUUUGACAGCAAGACCAAUUGAAUAGUAAGCACGUCGAGCGCUGGGAUAUAGCUCGUAAAUCUCAUAUUUCACACUUUUUUAAACGGCGAUAAUAACUACGCCAUGGCUGCGUAACCCGAAGUUUAGUACGGUAUGCUUAGCCGCUACAAGGUAGUGGGCCAUGAUGUCUCUAGAAAGCCUUGAUUUGCGGCGUUCCAUACAGAGGCACCGAUAAAGUAAAUCUAGGAAAAGUAGGGCUUUGAUGCUUUUUUGAAAUUGAUUGAGGCUAAGUUUUGGGUAGGUUGUUUUUAGCCAGCUCAAAAUCGAAAAUUUAAGUAAAAACUAAACGUGUAGAAGGCUGUUGAAUUGCUUGUUUGGACGGGAGUUCGAGUCUCCCCGACUCCACAU